UUUAAUAGUUAAGCAUCUAUUUCCUUACCAGUCUUCUGUUCGAGUCUUUACGUAAGUGAAGCGGAGAUGCAUUUUGCUACUCCGUAGAAUUAGUUGGUUGUUUUUUUUUUGAACUUCUUAUUUUUUAAUUUAAAUUUUUUUCUUUUAUUCUUAUUUUUCUUUUUCCGUAUUUUUCUUUUCUUUCCUUUGGUUCAUCUCUCCUCUUUUAGUUGUUGUUAAAUCCUCUGUGGUAUAUUCGGGUAAGUACGUUUUUCGUGUUGCCGAUGGAAAGUUAAUUUUGUAAUUUUUGUUUUGAAUUUCUUAUAAUCAACGGUUUUGUUCUGUCAAAAUGGUUUCAUCGUAGUUGGGUUGAAUUCUCUCAGUUAAGCGAUCUUUGGUUCCUUUGUUUUAGGUUUAGGUGUUGGAAGUAACGUUUCCA
rnacentral:lncRNA from 1 species